rnacentral:tmRNA from 1 species
GCUCUUUAAAUUUUCACCCGUCGCGCCUAUAUUCGAAGGGCCCGCGCAAGCGGGCUAUGGCGAUAAAUGACCCGUGCAAUAACCGUAUCGGACCCGGGGGCGGUACCCGGCGGCUCCACCAAAACCCCUCUCUCGCGGGAGGCUUUGACGGGGCCGAAAUAGGAUCGACGAGCGUCUAAAGACGGUGUUUUCGCCCGGUUUGCCUCCGUUAUUUGGCUAAAACUGAAUAGUUGCCAACGACAACUACUCGGAAGAACUCGCUCUCGCUGCAUAACGCGGCUGAGCAGUUCGCUUGACUGAAGUCCUGACGCCCUUCCAAGCGUCAGGCGGGGCCCCCCGGCGCCUGGCAACAGAAGCCGGGGACU